GUUAGCAACAGCUCCAUCGUUACGACUGAUCCAUAUCCACGGUAUCCACAUCACAGUUUGUGUCCUUGUCGCGGUGAUCAGCAGUGAGAUAUAUUCAAAACACCGGGUCUACGUUGAUAGGAUUGUCGUGGAUGUUUAUUACCAGUGAAUUGAACCGGAAGCCUCUACUCGUUUUCGUUUAUACGCUAGAAAGCAUUGUGUCCAAAGUGUAUGUGAUUAUGACCUUGUUGACUGUGGAUUUUCAUGAUCAAUUUUCGCAACGCAGCUGUCGUGUGAAUGAAGGAAUUGACGACCUGCAAACUUUCCUCGAACUAGACAGCGAUGAUUUUGCACGUCUUAAGCUUCGCACCAAGGACAUCAAGUUCAUACAACGUGUGCAGAAGGAAUUUUACGAUGAUCCAGUACUUGAAGAAAGACUUGAGGAGUGUGACGAGGAUGUCCGAGAUAAAGUUCCAAGCUCUGUAGAAGAACCUGACGAGACACAGUACGAGGAAACAACGCCGGAUGGUAGUAAUGAAUUGUUCUAGAAACAAUCAUUGACGUAAACGUUAUUUUCAAACGCACUCCAAAUGGUAGAGAAGUCAUCGAGCUACUAAAGGAAGGACUCAAACCGAAUGACAGCUGUAUGAGUGCAAUAAAACGGAUUCUAUGUGAUUACCUUAAAUCAGCAUUUGGAUUGCGUCCGUCGGCUUACCACAAAAACUUGCUCGCUAAGAGUCUUGCCCACACUUAUCCGGCACUGUCGUCAACAACAUUGGAUGUGCCGCAAGCUUUGUGGUUCCAUCCCAAUGGCCGGGGUGAACAUCGCCACAGUGGACGCUUGCAUUACCAUAUGGAAUACUUAGCAAGGACCUCAGGCAAUCGUAUCAUCAACCGACGUAAACUGCAAGUCGAGGAGAUCAAAAUUGAAGAAAAUGAUUCCGGAAUAUGUUCAGCACAAGACAUUGACCUGGACGCAGUGACUCAAGAACUAAAAUUCCUUUGUCCAGGACCGUAUACGAAACUACGCGCAGAUGAACUUUGGCAUCUAACCUUCCAUGAACGUCAGGAUUUACGCCUAAAAAAACAUUCUUCACCUAUCUUGAGACGUAUCCGGUUGCAACCGCAUUUAAUGGUUGUAUGAUUUUGUUGGAAUUUCGUACAAUGCAUCCGAACGCACCUGACUUCUCAAAAAACUCGAUGAUUUGCAACCAAAACUAUUAUCGCGCUAUUGCGAGCUCUUCAAAUACGUGAAAGAUGAUUUUAUUCGAAUGCUCAUGAUCGUGCGGCAGAAAAGUCCAAGCCGUGGAGCAAAGCGAACUCGAGAUGCAGAUUCAACGAAAGAU